UUCACAUAUUCGGCAAAGGAUCCCGGCUGUAAGGCUCCAAUAACAUGCAAGCUUUCACAUUGGGACAAAAUCCCUUUUUUGCAGCUUUCACAUUUACCGCAAUAUAAAGCAGGACA
rnacentral:antisense_RNA from 1 species